rnacentral:lncRNA from 1 species
GGAGAUUCCGGUUCUACUUGUUGAAGAGAUGUCAUAAAGAUUGUUAUACAUUAGGGACUACAGCCUCGUUCCUCCUGGUAAACAUGGGUCUGUGAGUAUUUGGGGGAUUUUGUUCCAGAAGAAACCUUAACAUUCAACAUGUGACUCCACGAGGCUCCUUAGUUCUGAACACAUGUGACCAGUGACUUGAAAGUGGGUGAGAGCCUCGAGGCCUGGCUGUGAGGCUACAGGGCAACAAUUUCCUUGCCUGCUGAAAUAAGAAAUAAGAAAAUAAGAAAUAAGAAAGCAGACUUUUCUGCACAAGCCAACGUUGCCAAACAGGGAUAUAACAUCAACACUCGCUCACAGCACCAAGCUACCCCUUUGGAGGAAGUCCAGAGAGGUGGUUUGGAGAAGAAGCACACAGAGAAAGCAAGCCUGCUUCAGAAACCAGAUAUGAGCAGAGGACAGAAAUGGCACACCUAGAAGCUCUUGCAUGGGAGAAACCACUUCUGGGGAUUUAUUUUGUAAUUCAAAC